rnacentral:snRNA from 1 species
UGACAUGUGAGUGAUCUGGUUGUAAUAUCUAUCAGCCCUUUGAUUGCCAAGGUUAAGUCUGCUCAUCUGUCUAGAUUGCUCUAUGGGUAUCCUAUCAAUCAUACAUGCUUUGUUGAAGAAGAUGAUGUCAUCUGAGAGAGAAGUAUCAGCCUUUGGUUAAGUGUCUACAAGUAGCUGUGCACCCUUGCUUGUAAAUAAGCUCUUAAGGUCCAAAUACUCCACUGAAUAGAAUUGCUGUUUNUGCUAUUCAUGAAGUGUUCUAGAGCACUGGUUCUGUAAUGUCUU